AUUGAACGCUAGCGGCAUGCCUUACACAUGCAAGUCGAACGGGAUGACGAACGGGUGGGUAAUGUAUGGGAAGGUGCCCAGUCGCGGGGGGUAGCUAAGCGAAAGCGUAGCUAAUCACGCAUACUAUUUGCGCGGCCGAGAUAUGAUUAGCUAGUUGGUGGGGUAACGGCUCACCAGGGCGCCUAGCCAUAGCUGGUUUGAGAGGCAGACCAACCAGCUGGGGACUGGGACACGGCCCAGACUCCGUCGGGAGGCAGCAGUGGGGAAUUUUGGACAAUGGGGGAAACCCUGCUCAAGACAUCCGGCGUGGGCAAGGAAGUCCUUCGGGUUUUAAAGUCCUUUUGGCGGGGAGGCGUUACCUACAGAAUAAGCACCGGCUAACUCCGUGCCAGCAGCCGCGGUAAUAC
rnacentral:rRNA from 1 species